GUCUGGGUGGUGUAGUUGGUUAUCACGCUAGUCUCACACACUAGAGGUCUCCAGUUUGAACCUAGGCUUAGACA